rnacentral:SRP_RNA from 2 species
CAUACGGUACAACAAUUAUGUUCUAAUCUGGUCAGGUCAGGAAUGAAGCAGCCAUACGAGCCUCUAAUUGUGUGUACCAUUUUUAA